AUGCCAUCUAGCCAUCUCAUCCUCUGUCGUCCUCUUCUCCUCCUGCCCCCAAACCUUCCUAGCAUCAGAGUCUUUUCCAAUGAGUCAACUCUUCGCAUGAGGUGGCCAAAGUACUGGAGUUUCAGCUUUAGCUUCAUUCCUUCCAGAGAACACCCAGGACUGACAAGUAGGAGAGCUUGAACUUGACUUCCUGCUGGUCUGGUACCAAGGUCUCAGUCUUUUCACUACACCAAAUUGCCUACAAGAAUGAUGACACUAAGUGCUGCCUGAAGACUCACAUAGGCAUGUGCUCCCUUUUAUAGAGGAAAUGAUUUUAUCCAGAAUGACAAGCAAUUAGAAUACAUGAAAAGAGGACUUAAUAGAAAGUGAAAUGAGCCUAUCUUCAAUGCAGUUCUCUACUCCCUCAAAGAAAAUUUAGAGGCUCUGUAAAACAUUUGUUUUUCAUUUUUAUGGGACUGUUAAGCUGUGAGUCUAAAGAUGAAGAAAUGGGGUAAGCUUUUCAAGAUAUUUUUCUUUGAAUGAGAAAUCUUAACAGCUAACCAACUUUUCUUUCUUGAACGUAGAUCCCCCUCUUGUGGUAACUUGCUUCUUCUGCAGUUUUAUGGCCACAUUUUCUACUCUAGUUCAUUUUAUUCUGUAGAGCAGCCAAGAAUUUUAUUCCUCUUUGUUCUUACUUGGAGAAGGAAAUGGCAACCCACUCCAGUACUCUUGCCUGGAAAACCCCAUGGAUGGAGGAGCCUGGAAGGCUGCAGUCCAUGGGGUCUCAAAGAGUCAGACACAACUGAGCGACUUCACUUUCUUUCACUUUUGUUCUUACUACCAAAGAAAGGAACUAAGUCAGAAUACUAACAGAAAAGACCACACACCCCUAGCAUUCAUUAGUAAAGGAAUAAUUCAAGUCGCCCUGGAGGACACAGUCACUUUCCUGAUGUGCUCUCUUAUGUCUCAAUACU
rnacentral:lncRNA from 1 species